GGAGCUAAUACCGGAUAAUAUUUUGUAACCGCAUGGUUCAAAAGUGAAAGACGGUCUUGCUGUCACUUAUAGAUGGAUCCGCGCUGCAUUAGCUAGUUGGUAAGGUAACGGCUUACCAAGGCAACGAUGCAUAGCCGACCUGAGAGGGUGAUCGGCCACACUGGAACUGAGACACGGUCCAG
rnacentral:rRNA from 1 species